UACGGGGGGGGCAAGCGUUGUUCGGAAUUACUGGGCGUAAAGGGCUCGUAGGUGGCCAACUAAGUCAGACGUGAAAUCCCUCGGCCUAACCGGGGAACUGCGUCUGAUACUGGAUGGCUUGAGAUUGGGAGAGGGACGCGGAAUUCCAGGUGUAGCGGUGAAAUGCGUAGAUAUCUGGAGGAACACCGGUGGCGAAGGCGGCGUCCUGGACCAACACUGACACUGAGGAGCGAAAGCCAGGGGAGCAAACGGG
rnacentral:rRNA from 1 species